AAAUAUUACAUCUAUUAUGCUUGACGAAAUUUGUCAUACACAUUUACUUUCACAAAACUGAAAUGGACCACAUCUACUAUUUCCAUCGCUCAAUACAAGUGAAGCAAAACUUGUUUUCUUAACAAAGAUCUAGAUUAGAGCUUAGGAGAAGAUAACUCAAACUUUUGCUGCCUUUGGAUUUUACCCAAACAUGGAAAAGGCUUCAGAUGUUAACCGAGCAAAAAUUAAGAGGUGGUGACCCUAAAGUAGCUUACAGUACAACAUCUUAGCAGAACCUGUGAUACCAGUCAUCCUAAACUGUAUCACUGUUCCCUUGGACACAUCUGCUGUGUGGUGGUGGUGGGGGGGGGGGG